AACCUGGUCCCAGUCGCAGAUCGGGUAUAGACAUCCAAAUACCAAAUUACUCCAGCGGCACUCCAAGUACCGAGUCCAAAUUGUACAGAUGUGAAGCGAGAAAAGUCUCUACCAAAGUGAUUCUCCAACCACUCCAGCACAAUCCGACUGAGGCAGCGAAAUGAGGACAAUAGACAGUAAAUGGAGGAUAAUGAAGUUCACACCGAGUGUAGUGUAUAGAUUCCUCUCCCCUCAGGCUGGACGUCCCUGUAGUGCUCCCUCUCACCGUCCAGGUACUUACCAGAUAUUAGCAUUCAGCAAAAAGACACCGAUCAUUACUAUUGGAUACAAGAAGCUUGGAGGAAUUGCCAGGUACACACUAAUAGUGAUUACAGAUCGCCGAGACUCCGCUCUCUGUCAUUAGUAAACAUUAUG